rnacentral:rRNA from 1 species
CCUACGGGAGGCAGCAGUGGGGAAUUUUGGACAAUGGGCGCAAGCCUGAUCCAGCCAUGCCGCGUGCAGGAUGAAGGCCUUCGGGUUGUAAACUGCUUUUGUACGGAACGAAAAGGUUUGGCCUAAUAAGCUGAGCUCAUGACGGUACCGUAAGAAUAAGCACCGGCUAACUACGUGCCAGCAGCCGCGGUAAUACGUAGGGUGCGAGCGUUAAUCGGAAUUACUGGGCGUAAAGCGUGCGCAGGCGGUUAUGUAAGACAGAUGUGAAAUCCCCGGGCUCAACCUGGGAACUGCAUUAGUGACUGCAUAGCUGGAGUACGGCAGAGGGGGAUGGAAUUCCGCGUGUAGCAGUGAAAUGCGUAGAUAUGCGGAGGAACACCGAUGGCGAAGGCAAUCCCCUGGGCCUGUACUGACGCUCAUGCACGAAAGCGUGGGGAGCAAACAGGAUUAGAUGCCCUGGUAGUCCACGCCCUAAACGAUGUCAACUGGUUGUUGGGUCUUCACUGACUCAGUAACGAAGCUAACGCGUGAAGUUGACCGCCUGGGGAGUACGGCCGCAAGGUUGAAACUCAAAGGAAUUGACGG